rnacentral:rRNA from 1 species
UACGAAGGGGGCUAGCGUUGCUCGGAAUCACUGGGCGUAAAGCGCACGUAGGCGGCUUGUUAAGUCAGGGGUGAAAUCCUGGAGCUCAACUCCAGAACUGCCUUUGAUACUGGCGAUCUUGAGUCCGGGAGAGGUGAGUGGAACUCCGAGUGUAGAGGUGAAAUUCGUAGAUAUUCGGAAGAACACCAGUGGCGAAGGCGGCUCACUGGCCCGGUACUGACGCUGAUGUGCGAAAGCGUGGGGAGCAAACAGG